rnacentral:rRNA from 1 species
ACUAAUACCCAAUGACGUCUCUAGAAGACAUCUGAAAGGGAUUAAAGAUUUUAUCGGUGAUGGAUGGGGAUGCGUCUGAUUAGCUUGUUGGCGGGGUAACGGCCCACCAAGGCAACGAUCAGUAGGGGUUCUGAGAGGAAGGUCCCCCACAUUGGAACUGAGACACGGUCCAAACUCCUACGGGAGGCAGCAGUGAGGAAUAUUGGUCAAUGGGCGAGAGCCUGAACUAGCCAAGUAGCGUGCAGGACGACGGCCCUAUGGGUUGUAAACUGCUUUUAUAAGGGAAUAAAGUGAGUCUCGUGAGGCUUUUGCAUGUACCUUAUGAAUAAGGACCGGCUAAUUCCGUG